GAUCAUGGCUCAGGAUGAACGCUAUCUACAGGCUUAACACAUGCAAGUCGAGGGGAAACGGCAUCGAAAGCUUGCUUUUGAUGGGCGUCGACCGGCGCACGGGUGAGUAACGCGUAUCCAACCUGCCUACCACUUGGGGAUAACCUUGCGAAAGUAAGACUAAUGCCCAAUGAUAUCCCACGAAGGCAUCCGAAUGGGAUUAAAGAUUUAUCGGUGAUGGAUGGGGAUGCGU
rnacentral:rRNA from 1 species